AUUGAACGCUGGCGGCAUGCUUUACACAUGCAAGUCGAACGGCAGCGCGGGCUUCGGCCUGGCGGCGAGUGGCGAGCGGGUGAGUAAUGCAUCGGAACGUGCCCAGUAGUGGGGGAUAGCCCGGCGAAAGCCGGAUUAAUACCGCAUACGACCUGAAGGUGAAAGCGGGGGACCGAAAGGCCUCGCGCUAUUGGAGCGGCCGAUGUCGGAUUAGCUAGUUGGUGGGGGAAAGGCUUACCAAGGCGACGAUCCGUAGCUGGUCUGAGAGGACGACCAGCCACACUGGGACUGAGACACGGCCCAGACUCCUACGGGGGGCAGCAGUGGGGAAUUUUGGACAAUGGGGGCAACCCUGAUCCAGCCAUGCCGCGUGCGGGAAGAAGGCCUUCGGGUUGUAAACCGCUUUUGUUCGGGAAGAAAUCCUCUGGGCUAAUACCCCGGGGGGAUGACGGUACCGGAAGAAUAAGCACCGGCUAACUACGUG
rnacentral:rRNA from 1 species